GAUGAACGCUGGCGGCGUGCCUAACACAUGCAAGUCGAGCGAUUUACUUCGGUAAAGAGCGGCGGACGGGUGAGUAACGCGUGGGUAACCUGCCCUGUACACACGGAUAACAUACCGAAAGGUAUGCUAAUACGAGAUAAUAUGCUUUUAUCGCAUGGUAGAAGUAUCAAAGCUUUUGCGGUACAGGAUGGACCCGCGUCUGAUUAGCUAGUUGGUGAGGUAACGGCUCACCAAGGCGACGAUCAGUAGCCGACCUGAGAGGGUGAUCGGCCACAUUGGAACUGAGACACGGUCCAAACUCCUACGGGAGGCAGCAGUGGGGAAUAUUGCACAAUGGGCGAAAGCCUGAUGCAGCAACGCCGCGUGAGCGAUGAAGGCCUUCGGGUCGUAAAGCUCCGUCCUCAAGGAAGAUAAUGACGGUACUUGAGGAGGAAGCCCCGGCUAACUACGUG
rnacentral:rRNA from 1 species